CGUGUAGGCGGGCAAUCGAGUCAGAUGUAAAAGGCGACGGCUUAACCGUAGUAUGUCAUCUGAUACUGGUUGUCUUGAGUUCGAGAGAGGGUGGUGGAAUUCCCGGUGUAGCGGUGAAAUGCGUAGAUAUCGGGAAGAACACCAGAAGCGAAGGCGGCCACCUGGAUCGAUACUGACGCUGAGACGCGAAAGCGUGGGUAGCAAACA
rnacentral:rRNA from 1 species